GUCCACACAGUAAACGAUGAAUACUCGCUGUUUGCGAUAUACCGCAAGCGGCCAAGCGAAAGCAUUAAGUAUUCCACCUGGGGAGUACGCCGGCAACGGUGAAACUCAAAGGAAUUGACGGGGGCCCCGCACAAGCGGAGGAACAUGUGGUUUAAUUCGAUGAUACGCGAGGAACCUUACCCAGGCUUAAAUUGCAGAUGAAUAUAGUGGAAACAUUAUAGUCUUCGGACAUCUGUGAAGGUGCUGCAUGGUUGUCGU
rnacentral:rRNA from 1 species